UGAGUUUGAUCCUGGCUCAGGAUGAACGCUGGCGGCGUGCCUAAUACAUGCAAGUCGAGCGAACAGAUAAGGAGCUUGCUCCUUUGAAGUUAGCGGCGGACGGGUGAGUAACACGUGGGUAACCUACCUAUAAGACUGGGAUAACUUCGGGAAACCGGAGCUAAUACCGGAUAACAUUUAGAACCGCAUGGUUCUAAAGUGAAAGAUGGUUUUGCUAUCACUUAUAGAUGGACCCGCGCCGUAUUAGCUAGUUGGUAAGGUAACGGCUUACCAAGGCGACGAUACGUAGCCGACCUGAGAGGGUGAUCGGCCACACUGGAACUGAGACACGGUCCAGACUCCUACGGGAGGCAGCAGUAGGGAAUCUUCCGCAAUGGGCGAAAGCCUGACGGAGCAACGCCGCGUGAGUGAUGAAGGGUUUCGGCUCGUAAAACUCUGUUAUUAGGGAAGAACAAAUGUGUAAGUAACUGUGCACAUCUUGACGGUACCUAAUCAGAAAGCCACGGCUAACUACGU
rnacentral:rRNA from 1 species